rnacentral:rRNA from 1 species
UGGGGAAUAUUGCACAAUGGGCGAAAGCCUGAUGCAGCAAUGCCGCGUGUGUGAAGAAGGUCUUCGGAUUGUAAAGCACUUUCGACGGGGACGAUGAUGACGGUACCCGUAGAAGAAGUCCCGGCUAACUUCGUGCCAGCAGCCGCGGUAAUACGAAGGGGGCUAGCGUUGCUCGGAAUGACUGGGCGUAAAGGGCGUGUAGGCGGUUUACACAGUCAGAUGUGAAAUCCCCGGGCUUAACCUGGGAGCUGCAUUUGAUACGUGUAGACUAGAGUGUGAGAGAGGGUUGUGGAAUUCCCAGUGUAGAGGUGAAAUUCGUAGAUAUUGGGAAGAACACCGGUG